GAAUUAAUUUUCGAUAGUGCCAAACCAGCGAUAGUGCCAUCGAUAGCUCUCCACCUCUAAACAACAACGACUGCAGAAUAACAAAAAAUUGAUAUUUAAUGGUUCUGUCUCUUCGAUGAGGAUGUUAUCCUCUGCUGAAGUGCUAUUAAUCUCGGAUAAAUGGAAGAAGCUGACCGCGCUCAACGAAUCAUCCGAAUCAACAAAAAUAACACUGCUGCUAUCUCUGCUAGGUGUAUUUUCGUCGUCACUAUUGCCAGCUUCGCCCAUUUGGGGCAGUUUGCACGGGAGAUCGUCAUUCUUCUGCGACAGAAACUGGUGGAAUGAAAGUGCCGUGUAGGGAGACACGGCAAAUGAAAAACUUACUCUUUUAUUCUCGGUAAUAUUCUCGUUUAAUUUCAAAUUGCUAAGCAUAUUUGACAAAGAAGUGUUAUUUUCUUGAAGCGACAUAUUUACUUUACUGUUGCUUUGAGAGACUUGCCGGCAUCAUUCAAUAGUGAAGUAACAGUGCUGGAAAGGGUGAUAUAUAGCUAUUUAUCGAUACUUGUGCUAGUCAUUUGGCGGGGGUUUUUUUCUAUGAUAUGUAUGAGGAACUAUGAUUCAAAUUUGUAGCUCAAAAAUCACUACACAACAGGUUUAAUUAUGAAUGUAUGAUAUCUUUGUACCAAACUCAUGUGUUUUAAUAAUGGUACCACUAGUUAGAUAUUGUUUUAGUCUAUUUUAUGGCUCUAUUGCCAUAUACCGCGUAUUCUAGGUAUAUUUUGAUGUCGAAUUCGAAGUGAAUAAACCAAUUUACCAUACAUAUUAGUAAA